GAUGAAGAACGCAGCGAAAUGCGAUACGUAGUGUGAAUUGCAGAUUAUGUGAACCAUCGAAUCUUUGAACGCAAAUUGCGCCCGAGGCUUCGGCCAAAGGCAUGUCUGCCUCAGCGUCGGCUUCACCCCUCCCCUCCCUUUCCAUGAUUCUUCCGAAGAGGGAAAGGCGAGGGGGACCUGGUUGUCUCGGCCCUCACCGGCCGGGUCCGCCGAAGCACAGAGGCUCGAGCGGGACCCCGUUUACAUGGGCAACAGUCUGGUAGGCGACCACUGACCGGUCGCAUGCCGCUGGUGCCUGGGGCGCCUGCUGGCCGAGCCCGCAGGAAGUGGCUGCACGCCACGCCUUCACCCAUUCGACCUGAGUUCAGGCAAGAGCACCCGCUGAACUUAAGCAUAUCAAUAAGCGGAGGA
rnacentral:misc_RNA from 1 species